rnacentral:rRNA from 1 species
UGAAUACGAGAUGCUACGGCGUCGAAGCAGUCUAUGUCAUACUUCCAAGAAAAGCUUGCACUGUCAUAAACAAAUAAUGCCUGUACCAUAACCGACACAGGUGGGUAGGUAGAGUAUACUAAGGGGCGCGAGAUAACUCUCUCUAAGGAACUCGGCAAAAUGACUCCGUAACUUCGGGAGAAGGAGUGCCUUAUUUAUAAGGUUGCAAUAACAAGAUCCAAGCAACUGUUACCAAAAACACAGGUCUCCGCUAAGUCGUAAGACGAUGUAUGGGGGCUGACGCCUGCCCAGUGCCAGAAGGUUAAAGAAGUUGGUUAGCAUCCGCGAAGCUGAUAACUGAAGCCCUGGUGAACGGCGGCCGUAACAAUAACGGUCCUAAGGUAGCGAAAUUCCUUGUCGGGUAAGUUCCGACCCGCACGAAAGGCGUAAUGAUUUGGAUACUGUCUCGGAGAGGGGCUCGGUGAAAUAGACUUGUCUGUGAAGAUGCGGACUACCUGCACCAGGACAGAAAGACCCUAUGAAGCUUUUCUGUAACCUGAAAUUGAAAUUGGACUUUACUUGCGCAGUAUAGGUGGGAGGCGUUGAGAAUAUUCUUGCGGGAUUAUUGGAGCCAUCAGUGAGAUACCACUCUUGUAAUGUUAGAUUUCUAACUUUGUAUCAUUAUCUGGUCAAAGAACAGUUUCAGGCGGGCAGUUUGACUGGGGCGGUCGCCUCCUAAACGGUAACGGAGGCGCACAAAGGUUUCCUCUGAACGGGUAGAAAUCGUAUCUAGAGUGUAAAGGCAUAAGGAAGCUUGACUGUGAGACCUACAAGUCGAGCAGGGAGGAAAGUCGGUCUUAGUGAUCUGACGGUGCUGAGUGGAAAGGCCGUCACUCAACGGAUAAAAGUUACUCUAAGGAUAACAGGCUGAUCUCCCCCAAGAGUUCACAUCGACGGGGAGGUUUGGCACCUCGAUGUCGGCUCAUCGCAUCCUGGGGCGGUAGUACGUCCCAAGGGUUGGGCUGUUCGCCCAUGAAAGCGGUACGCGAGCUGGGUUCAGAACGUCGUGAGACAGUUCGGUCCAUAUCCGGUGUAGGCGUUAGAAUAUUGAGAGGAGCCUUCUUUAGUACGAGAGGACCGAGAAGGACAUACCUCUGGUGUACCAGUUAUCGUGCCAACGGUAAACGCUGGGUAGCUAUGUGUGGAGUGGAUAACCGCUGAAAGCAUCUAAGUGGGAAGCCCACCUCAAGAUAAGUAUUCUCAUCAU